AUCUAUGGCCAUACUACCCUGAAUUCUCCAGAUCUCAUCUGAUCUCGGAAGCUAAGCAGGGUUGGGCCUGGUUAGUACUUGGAUGGGAGAUCACCUGGGAAUACUGGUGUGCUGUAGACU
rnacentral:rRNA from 1 species